GCAAUGUGCUUUCUCCUCCCUAUGCCCUCUUGCAGCUCAGCCACUGUGUGACAAUGAACAUUUCUUUUAAAACAAACAGAGUCUUCAUAUGCUCGCAUUUUACCUGAAGAGAAAAUAGAAGCUUUUCCAAAUCCUGUCACUUAUCCCAUGGAAUCCACUUUCCCAGCUUAAUGUAGGCUGAAAUAAGUUUUUUUUUAAACUGAUGAAAAUAUUAUAGGAAUUAAAAACCAAGCCUAUUAAUAUCCUGAUUAGACUCCCUAUGUUAAUUGUGGAUUCUUUCAGGCAGCAGAACAGGUAGGUCACAGUCUGGGCUUAGUGUGAUAGUAGUGUUUAAUAAGAGCCACUUUUGGAACUGCAGUUUGCAGCUAAAACUUUUGUCACCUGGCAAAUGAGGAUUCAAAGUGAUUUUCCCCCUUAUGCUUACAAGGAGUAACAGCAGCUUCCCUGAAUGCUCCCCCUGGGGAAGGGCAGCCCAACUGGAAGGAGGGAGCCAGGGCACCCACUGGCUCCACCCUUCUCUGCAACAUCAGGAUAGGCCUCUUCUUCCCCUCAGAGAGGGGGUGAGAUGGCUUCACCAGGAAAAGUGAGGCAGGAGAUUAGGGCAUAGCCAGCUGGCUGGCCAAGUGGCUAUGACCCGUGAAUCACAGAAAUUCGGGACACAUGUGCCCAGGCCCCACACCCGGGACCAAUCAGAGAAUGCUCUCUUCAGUUCUACUGCUGAGAUCACGCAUGUUUUUGACAGGAUGGCCUAGAUCUGACAUUGGCCUGAAGAGCUGGGGACACCAACGACAUCAGCCGUUAACCUCGUGGCCAUGUGUGGUCUUCCAGAGACACACUCUCAGGCUGCAGAGGAUAUUUCCUUUCUACCUUUGAUAAAUGUAAAACCUCACUACUGUACUUUUGGCACAUGUUUUGACCAAGUUUUUGUUCAGGACAGUAAGAACCUGGUUCUAGAAGGACCCCACAGUACCCAGGCCCUGGUAACAAAAAGAAAUGAUGAGAGGCAACUCUUCUAACAGAAGAAAAUUUGGAGAUUCUCAUGAGUGAGAUUUCUACCUCCUUUGUCCAUGGGUCUGGGGCAGGGGACAAAACCAAAUGCCUACAGCAUCCAGAGAGGGCUGGAUGACGACAGUGGGGGACUGGGGGCCUUGAUUCAUCUUAAGAGACCUGCCUCACUUUGCCUGUUAUCCUGGUCUUUUUAUUUAUUUAUUUUUGGUGCCAGGUAUUGAACUCGGGUCCUUGUGCUUGUGAGACAGGCGGUGGAACCACCGAGCUAAAUCCCCGGCCCUCCUGGUCUCUAUGUAAAAUGCAGCCAGAGACCAAGCCCCUUUCACCUCUCAGUGUCCGCAUCCUGGUCCAAGGCCGCAGCCGAUUUGAAUGGAGACCGAGUCUGCUUCCCAGAAGUGUCCAGAUGAUACCGUGCUGCAUGCGUGGAAAUGGCCCUUUGUGAACCCCAUGGUGUCCUUGUCUCUUCUGGUUACAGCAACAGCCUCCUAACUGGCCCCUAGGAGCCUACUCUCACCUACCUACUUACUAUUCAUCCUCAACACACGGUCCUUCAAAAUGGGGGUAAACCUACAUCACUUCCUGGUUCGAAACCCAUUACCUGGGGUAGCGUCAGACUCUUCCCAGUAUCUCUACAAGGGCCCAAGUAAGCGAGUUGCACUGGGUCUGCACACAGGUGUUAGAUUUGCCUGUCACAUUCUCUCUUCCUCCUUUUGCUCUAACUUCAUGUCCUCCCAGUCCUCUGCUUCAGCCAUACUGGUCUCCUUGCUCUCCCUAGAACAAGCCAGGCAUAUGGUCACCUCUGGGCCUUUGCACUUGCUGCUCCUCUACUUGGGAUGCCCUUUCCCCGUGUCUGCAUGGCUUCCACGUACCUGCCCAGGUCUUAGCUCAAAUGACCCCUUUCCCAGGGAGGCCUUCUCCAGCCACACUGGUGAAUACCAGACCCCUCAGCACCACCUAAUCCCCUCCCACUGUUACUUUACUCCCACUUUACUUUCCCAGCCUUCCUGUGUCAUACACUGUUGGUUUGUUAUCCAUGCCACACCCUUGGGAGGCAACAUUCCUUAGGGCAACAGCUGUGUCUACUUUGUUCACCUCUGUAUCAGCCAGUGUGGAGCUGAAAGAGUGGAUGCAUGAAUGAGUGAGCAAGCAGGGGCCCCGAACGAGCAGUCCUGACCCGCAGAGCACCUGGAUGCUCAGCCUUCAGACUUCUGUCCACUGGCCGUUCAGUCAAGAACAUGGCGGUGCUACAUGGGCCAGACUAGAGAUUGGUUUUCCAGUGAUGUGGGCCUUGGGCAGGGGCUUUUAUCCAGUUACCAAGUGAAGACAGGACAGUUUUCCUAACCCUGCUGGAGGUGGAGUUGCUACCUCUUGGGAGGAAGGAGAUAUGACUGUAUAGACAGCCAAUCUCCUCCUCCGCUUUUCAAAAACUGCUCUUUGUCAUUGGUCUUCAAGGACUGCAAAGAGUCUUUUAAUCAAUAAUCUAGCUUUUUUCUUUACAUAAUAUUCAACUCUAUCAGCUGGUCUGCUUAUUUGCUCCCAAGAUUAGGAAACUCAGCACAUUCUGAUCUGAUUAAAGCGUUUUAUAAUCACAAUUUGCAAAACUCUGACUAUUUGUUCAGUCAACAAAACCGUAAGGGUCUACAACACAGGAGGCCUUGUUCUAGAAGUUGGGAUUACACCAGUGGGCAGACACAAGGCACGUGUGCCCUUGUGAAGCUUAUAGUGUAGAAGGGGAAGACAGCAUUUGUCCUGAGGAAUCCGGGGACGGAGUCUCCCACACAUGUGCAGUUGAUGCAAGAAUGGCCAGGCAGAUGUCAGACACAGCGGUUUUGUAGGCCGAUGAUCCUGAAGCAGAUUUUGUUUCUGUGAGGCACCGGAAACAAACUGUUUCCCCUUUCACAUGAUGCAGCUGUGAGGGCUCUUAAACGGCCGUCAGAUCUCCGGAGCGUCUCAUCUCACAGAUAUUCUCUCCUUUGAUCCCUCCAAAGACGUCUGAACUCAUAUACCACAGGAGCUAAUUUUCAACUUGGAAAAUUUGAUCAUAAUAAUUGUAGACCUAUAGACUUCUGCCAGUUUGCAAGACAUGUGGAUAAGAUCAUCCCAGGCUGCAAAAACGAGCAAGUGUGAGCCUGGGGCUCGGAGACUUCUCCAGGCGACGUGUCUAGUGAGGAUUCCCACCCCAAGGCUUCCUGUUACUGCAUCUGGAUGGCAUUGUGAUCCUCUACUUAUGACAAGCACAACUGGCUUUCAUCGAUAGCAGCAGUUUUACAAGUGUUUGUUUACAAGUUAAAUGAAUAGUGUGAGUCAAGGCAAAGGAAAAAUAGGAUGCAAAUAGUAGCAGGAAGAUAGUGCUGAGAGGCAGAAAGUAUCGUAGUGGGAAACACUGUGGUUCCGGGGAAGUGUGGCCUGGGUGCUGAUCUAGCUCCUAGCUGUGUGACCAUGGCAAGUCACGCAAACACUCUGUAGUUUCCUCUCUGAAAAAUACGGGAAGUAAUGAACCAACCUUAGAGGCUGCUGUGAUGACUGAAUGAGUUAGCAGGUGGAAAGCAGUACAGCAAGGUCCCUUACCGCACAGAGCACGUGUUCUGUAAGGGUUAGCGAGGAGGAGGAGGAGGAGGAGGGUGAUGGUGAAGACGACAGUUAUGAGCUUCAGUAGGGUCUUAGCCAUUGAUGUUUAGGCUGAUGGCACAGAAAGAACGGCACAGUGUUUUCCUGAAGAAAGGGAAGCAAAUGCAAGAAGUGAUCCACAUCCACGAUGCCCAGGUUUCUAGGAAACGAGAAACAUUGGGUCCGGAGACUGAAGUGCGUGGUGAAGGUCUAUGUUUCUUUCCAUAGUGACUUCUGCAGGGCAGGCACUUGUCUUAUUAACAGGAAGAAGGGCAGCAUUCACCAAGUGCUGACUCUGGCCCAGGCUUGGGGUGAACACAUUCUAUCCCCGUGCUUCAAAAAUCUGCCUCCAUUUCUCAGAGGGGCGAACUGAGACUCGGCAGAGUUAAACAGUUCAAGGGCAUGACUGCCAAGCAAGCGAUACCGUGCAGCCCUCUAGCUCAUUCUCAUGCCUAAGUCUUGCUUGUGACUCUGGCCACGGUGGCCUGGCCCCCUCUGUGGCUUCUUCCUACAAUGCCUCUCCUAGAUCUGAGUGUGGACGCCUCCCUCUCGCCUGGAUGCAGCUCUAAUGCCACUGCCCACAGGGCCGUCCUGGAUGGCGUUAGUAAAUGCACUGCUGUCGUUCCUCCCAACCCCUGUGCACAGUCCGUUCCAAGACGGCACAACAUGGAAGGCAUGAGCCAAACUCUGGGGCCAGAGCUUUGUGCUCUGGAUGGAAGUUCUAACUCUUGUAUAAACACCCUGUGACUUACUUUCCCUAUUUGCAAAAUGGGAAUAUAACCACAGUUUUCUUGUGAGCUUUCCAUGUAUUAAAUGUAUAUAUAAAGUACUGAAAAUGUCAGGCACGCGGUAAGAACUCAGUAAGCUUAAUAUUUCUUUAUCGUCAUUCUCCACUAGAGCAUAAAUUCUGCAAGGGUGCCACUAUAUACUUGGCUCUUUUGCAUUGCACCUGGUACCUGGGACAUAAUAGGCGCUUACUAAACAUUAGCCCAAUGAGUGAGAGUGUGAGUAAAUGUUUAAGACCUCAGCCCUGCUGGGGGCUUAGUGAUAGAAAGGCGAACAGGAGCCCAACAGCCCCCCCGACCCUGGAAGCACACAGCACUCUGUCCCAGGAUGCCAGCCCUUUCCACCCCCCUGGCCCUCCACCCAGCCAGUUCUGGGUACCACCCAUGCUAGGCUCUCUUGCCCUGUUCCGAGAGAGGAGCAUUUGCAGCCAGUCAUUGGAUGCCCUUCAGAUCCUUGCGUGGGACAGAACCACCGUCCUCAUGUCCAAGCUCUAAGCAAUGACAUGGAAGACAGCUGGCCCCUGAGUUUGAGAAGACUUGAGUGCCUUACAGAGAGGCACAGCUGUACUGAGUAAAGCCCCUACUUCCAAAAAGGCUUUGGGAAGACCCAUCCUUUGGCCCUCCUGCCAAAAGGAACGUUCUAUAGUGCUCUUUGCC